GACGAACGCUAGCGGCAUGCUUUACACAUGCAAGUCGAACGAGUGGCGGACGGGUGAGUAAUAUAUCGGAACGUGCCCAGUAGCGGGGGAUAACUACUCGAAAGAGUGGCUAAUACCGCCUACUAUUGGAGCGGCCCAUAUCGGAUUAGCUAGUUGGUGGGGUAAAGGCUCACCAAGGCAACGCUCCGUAGCUGGUUUGAGAGGACGACCAGCCACACUGGGACUGAGAAACGGCCCAGACUCCUACGGGAGGCAGCAGUGGGGAAUUUUGGACAAUGGGGGAAACCCUGAUGCAGCCAUGCCGCGUGUAUGAGAAGGCCUUCGGGUUGUAAAGUACUUUUGGCAGAGAAGCGGUAUCUGCAGAAUAAGCACCGGCUAACUACGUGCCAGCAGCCGCGGUAAUAC
rnacentral:rRNA from 1 species